UACGAAGGGUGCAAACGUUGCUCGGAAUUAUUGGGCGUAAAGCGCACGUAGGCGGCAUCGCAAGUCGGAUGUGAAAUCUUAUGGCUUAACCAUAAAAGUGCAUCCGAAACUGCAGUGCUUGAGUACUUAAGAGGAUCGCGGAAUUCCCGGUGUAGAGGUGAAAUUCGUAGAUAUCGGGAAGAACACCCGUGGCUAAGGCGGCUCUCUAGUACGGUACUGACGCUGAGACGCGAAAGCGUGGGGAGCGAACAGG
rnacentral:rRNA from 1 species